rnacentral:rRNA from 1 species
GGGAACCCUGACCGAGCAACGCCGCGUGAGUGAAGAAGGUUUUCGGAUCGUAAAGCUCUGUUGUAAGAGAAGAACGAGUGUGAGAGUGGAAAGUUCACACUGUGACGGUAACUUACCAGAAAGGGACGGCUAACUACGUGCCAGCAGCCGCGGUAAUACGUAGGUCCCGAGCGUUGUCCGGAUUUAUUGGGCGUAAAGCGAGCGCAGGCGGUUAGAUAAGUCUGAAGUUAAAGGCUGUGGCUUAACCAUAGUACGCUUUGGAAACUGUUUAACUUGAGUGCAGAAGGGGAGAGUGGAAUUCCAUGUGUAGCGGUGAAAUGCGUAGAUAUAUGGAGGAACACCGGUGGCGAAAGCGGCUCUCUGGUCUGUAACUGACGCUGAGGCUCGAAAGCGUGGGGAGCAAACAGGAUUAGAUACCCUGGUAGUCCACGCCGUAAACGAUGAGUGCUAGGUGUUGGGUCCUUCCGGGACUCAGUGCCGCAGCUAACGCAUUAAGCACUCCGCCUGGGGAGUACGAACGCAAGGUUGAAACUCAAAGGGAAUUGACGGGGGGCCCG